rnacentral:rRNA from 1 species
AUUGAACGCUGGCGGCAGGCCUAACACAUGCAAGUCGAGCGACCGGCGGACGGGUGAGCAAUGUACGGGGAUCUGCCCGAUAGAGCGGUAUAACUACUGGAAACGGCGGCUAAUACCGCAUACUAUCGGAUGAACCCAUAUGGGAUUAGCUAGUUGGUGGGGUAAAGGCUCACCUAGGCCACGAUCUCUAGCUGGUCUGAGAGGAUGAUCAGCCACACUGGGACUGAGACACGGCCCAGACUCCUACGGGAGGCAGCAGUGGGGAAUGUUGGACAAUGGGCGCAAGCCUGAUGCAGCCAUGCCGCGUGUAUGAGGAAGGCCUUAGGGUUGUAAAGUACUUUCAGCAGGGAGGCGUUACCCGCAGAAGAAGCACCGGCUAACUCCGUGCCAGCAGCCGCGGUAAUUC